CCAACCACAUUUGUCAGAAUGGUGAAUUUCAGGCGUUUCUUUUCUUCCUUCCUUUUUUUUCUUUCUUUUUUUUUUCCUUUUUUGCUAUUUUUUCCCCUUUUGGGCUGCAUUCUGGAAUGUGUCUGUGGGCUGAAGAAAUUGAUCUGUCACAGUGCAACAGAUUGUAGUCAGAGGCUGCCAACAAAUUACAAGCAACAGUAGGUCUCAUUUUCCACAUCAAGAAAAGGAAGCCAUUGGACUGAAUGACCCCAAGGAUCCCUUCCAGUUCUUUAUCGAUAAUGUCAUGAAAAGUGAUGACCAGAAAAGAAUUCUGGAGAGUUUCCCUCAAAACAAAAGGGGACAAAAAUCUCCUUGGACCUUGACCUAGAAAACACUGAUACCUUCGCCACCCUCAUUCCUAACACUUCAGAUGGAGCAGGAUGG